CAGACUAGACUUUGUGACUUUAGCCAUUUCCGUGUAAUUUCAUGCGACAAUUCUUUACUUAUACAUUUGUAAAGAUAUUUUUCGCUGGUAUUUACUGAUUAUGUCAAGUAUGUGAUCGCUACAUGGUGGAGUUGAUCAGUGCGUAAAAUAAACGUCACUUAGUUAUUUUUGAAAUUCAAAUUACAGUAACACUUUGCUUAGGCUGAGGAUAACAACCAUGAUACCUUCAAAGCGACACGGGAUUGAGCAAGAACGUAGUGACAUCUAUUUCACAAUUUCACCAAACAGAAAGUAAUACGUACUCUAUUACAC
rnacentral:lncRNA from 1 species